AGAAUGCCUGAUCUAGAAGAUGCCCAGUGGAUUCUUAUUGAAGGAAUGUCCAGUGGGUGUUAAGGGUGAGGCUCAGGGAAUUAAGCACCUUGUUCUGGGUCACGGGUCAUUAAGCUAAGAAAAUACAGCAUGUCCAUCUGGCCAGCUUCCCAGAUAGAGCCUCAUGAAGUUCCAGCACACAGAGAAGUGAAAGGGGAGAAUGGAAUAAUCUGUUCAUUCUUUCGUUCAAUAUUUACUCAAAACCCACUAUGUGCUAGGUAUCGUUAUAGGUGCUUGGAAUACAGCAGUGAACCAAAAAGACAAAGAUCCCUGACCAUGGGUUGCUUCUGGUGGGAGAUGGGGAGGUUAUAAUAACCCUAAAAAGUAAAUAAAUUAGGUCUUAAGGCUGUGGAAUAAAGGCAAAAUAGAGCAGGGAAAGGGGGAUCAGGAGCACAUGUAUGGAUGAGGUUGGGGUUGCAAUCUUAAGAGAGUGGUCAGGGAAGUGAAGGAGCUGCCCAUGUGGCAGGCAGAGAGAACACCAUGUCUCCAGAGCUGAGGCAGAGGGAACAGGACUGUGUGUUUGAGCAACAGCUGGAGACCAGGAAGCUGGAGUGGAGGGGGUGAUGUGGAAAGUUGGAGACUGAGGGAUUGUCGAAGGGUGGGGGCUACAUCACUUAGGGUGUAACAGUGGCCUGUCUUCUCUUUGUAAAGGAUCCCUCCCACUGCUGAGCAAGAAGGUGGGAAAUGGGAGAGCAGCUCUCGGAGCCCAGCAUGAUACCCAGACAGGAGGCUAUGGGGGCUCAGGCAGGGGCUGGAGGCAGGCUUGGGAGGGGUGGGGGAUGAUAUGGUUUGGCUCUGUGUUGCCACCCAAAUCUCAUCUUGUAGCUCCCAUAAUUCCCAUGUGUUGUGGGAGGGACCUGGUGGGAGAUAAUUGAAUCAUGGGGGCAUGUCUUUCCCAUGCUGUUCUCAUGAUGUGAAUAAGUCUCAUGAGAUCUUAUGGUUUUAAAAAGGGAGUUUCCCUGCACAAGCUCUCUCUCUCUUUGCCUGCUGCCAUCCAUGUAAGAUGUGACUUGCUCCUCCUUGCCUUCUG
rnacentral:lncRNA from 10 species